AAGGAUUUAAGUUAAUCAAACUAGUAACCUUCAAAGUUACAAAUACAGAAAAUCUCUCUAAGCCUUG
rnacentral:tRNA from 1 species